ACAUCCAGCGAACUUGGCAGAGAUGGCCUUGGUGCCUUCGGGAACGCUGAGACAGGUGCUGCAUGGCUGUCGUCAGCUCGUGUUGUGAAAUGUUGGGUUAAGUCCCGCAACGAGCGCAACCCUUAUCCUUUGUUGCCAGCGAUUCGGUCGGGAACUCAAAGGAGACUGCCGGUGAUAAACCGGAGGAAGUGGGGAUGACGUCAAGUCAUCAUGGCCCUUACGAGUAGGGCUACACACGUGCUACAAUGGCGCAUACAAAGAGAAGCGACCUCGCGAGAGCAAGCGGACCUCAUAAAGUGCGUCGUAGUCCGGAUCGGAGUCUGCAACUCGACUCCGUGAAGUCGGAAUCGCUAGUAAUCGUGGAUCAGAAUGCCACGGUGAAUACGUUCCCGGGCCUUGUACACACCGCCCGUCACACCAUGGGAGUGGGUUGCAAAAGAAGUAGGUAGCUUAACCUCCGGGAGGGCGCUUACCACUUUGUGAUUCAUGACUGGGGUGAAGUCGUAACAAGGUAGGCGUAGCGAG
rnacentral:rRNA from 1 species